AAUAGAGAGGCGUCGUGGAUGAUCAAUUUUAAUAUUUUUCGAUCUAUGAAUCGAAACAGAGAAUGUAUUUUUCGAUCCGUUUUGGUUGAUUCAUGUAGAAGGUGCAGAAACUUUGAGUUUGUACCAUAAUGCAAGACCACCUCUACAUAUUACUGUACCUAUUAAGAAAGCCAAAACGCCUAUAUAGAUUUUGGAUGCGGAUAAUCUGAAAACUAUUUCCAACUUCUCUCCAUCAUAUGGGAUCCAGCAGACCAGGCGCCUAAUGUGAUCAUGUUUAAUGCCCCCACCGCCCCCACUGAGAGACUCAUUUAGAAUGGUUGGCACUUGCUACUAACUUGCCUGCCCUUGGUAUAUAAUAGGAAACUUCUUGGUGACGAUGGUGACCUUUGGUGGGGUAAAUGAGAAAUCAAAGUUGAUAUGUCCAUCGGGAGAUUCCUGCUCUGCUUUUAAGUCGAACAGAACCCUGCUCCACCAGCACCAAUUGAAUCCCUGGAUACCGAGGUCCAGAAAUUGGCAUGGCACACCUCAAAUGAGCUCAUAGAAGGAAAGAGAUGCACAUCACUUUACAUUACAUAUUGAUUUUCCAGCCUUCAUGGCCCCAGGUGACAAACUCUUGGGAACUUUACUUAGUGGGAGAUUUGACAUGAUAAGAACGUUUGCAUAUUGAUUCGUCCAUUUUCAAAAUUAUUGUUAAUGUCAUGCGAUAUGAGAAAAGAAAAGUUCAAAAUUAUCUGAACUGAUGUUAGUUCCAUAGUGCGAGUCACUUUGUUAAUUGGCGCCAUGUCCGGCAGCCAGUGACAGAACAAUUUUUAAGGUAAACUAAUAAGAAUGGGAGUGGUAAAUAUUGGUAAGUAGUGGUAAAAUUUGGGAUGAACCAAUAUUGUUAGUUCCCUUACCGGCAUUGGUAACCGAACAUUUUUGCAUAAUCAUUUUAAACUCUAGAGAGCGUGAUAUACGUAAUUCCUUUAUCUGGAAGGAGAUAGAAGCCUCAAUCUUUCCUACGGAUAGCAGAAGCAUUCUGCUUUGGUAACUCUGCUGAAAACUGGUGAGCAAUUAAACUAAUGCACAUCUUGAACGACAUUUGGCGAUAACUGCAGUAGAGAUAUUUUCUUUUUUGUUUUGACAUGGCAGUAGAGAUGUAGAUAUUUGGGUAAUCAUGUUUUUAAUGGGUGGAAUCUAUAUAACAUACUCACCUUUCUAUGAAAGCAUACUAAUACGUACUACUAUGAAUCUAUGAUCAUAUCCAGAAUUUGGUUCAAUGUUAGAAAGUUGGUUUUAUUGCAAUCAUACCCAAUAUUCAAAAGAAACUGCAGAAAACCUUAAUUGUUAAAUUGCGUAUUUUUAUAUGGGAUUGUUUGCUGUGCUAAACGUUAGACUGCUGUUAAAAUUUUAUUGGACCCAUGGAUACUAACUUACGUUAUUGGCAGGAAAGCAAGAAUGAGCUAUCUAUAACGUAAGCUGAGAAGAGUAAUGGUUUCUAUUAAUUUUCUAAGCUUAUAUUCACUAAUUUUUGCUAAAUUAUGUUCUAAGAUGAUGGAGGGAUAUCAACCUUCAUUAUUGUUUGGGAUACCGUUGGCACUUCUAUUUUUUAGAUCUCACAGACAGUGGUGUACCAACGUUGUAACACGAUUCAUCAUCGUUAUAGUUUUUAGAAAGUAAUGGACGUCCAAUAGUAUAAUGCAAGGAUCUGGAUACCAUCAUUUUGAGAAGAAAGUCAUCUACUCUGGCUUGGCUUCACAAACUUAGUAACUUACAGUUUUAGUCCGUCUUUUUUAAUUUUUGCU